CUGAUGCUUUGGAAAUCAAAGUAGUUUGUGAUGAGCUGAACUACGUAAUCACUGCAAAUCUAAGAGUUGUUUGAAGGUUGGGUUACCCCCUUAGCAAUGGCUUGGGAGAUACAGCCCUCUUUGGCUGUGAGAUGUAUAUCUAAGGUUCAGGUUUCUGAAGUUUGGCUUCCAUUUGGGGAGUGAAGGCAGCCUGAUAUAUUUACCUCUAAGGAGAUUCAAGGGAAGUCUUUCUCUUAGUCCAAAAGAAGGUGGAAGAAAAUUAGAAAUGUUCGUUCAGAGAAUUGUAGCCAGGUAUUUGAAAAAAAUUAGAAGAUUUCAGAAUCCAGUUCAACUUACAGGGAGUGAACCUACCUACCUGAAGUUAGUGCUCCAUUGAAAAUAUAAAUUUAAAUGGAAGAAUGUUUCAGUUCUUGAGUCGGACACCUGAACACGACUUCACUGUCUCCUCUGCUCAGGGUUUCAAAAGGUUAUAAUCGGGCUGUCUGCCAGGUUUUGGAGGCUCAAUUAAGGAAGAAUAUGCUUCAAAGAUCAUUCAGGUUGUUGAGAACGAGAGUGUGAGCAGGAGAGGAGGAAGAGAGGGAAGGGAAGCUUAAGAAGGCUUCAUGCUCACUGCAGAGCCCCACGUGGAACUUGAUCUCACAACCCUGAGAUCAUGACCUGAGUCAAAAUCAAGAGUCAGAAGCUUAACCAAUUGAGCCACACAGAUGCCCCAGUUAUAUUCUUAGUAAUUCUGUCUUUUAACUUUUAUACUAGGGAUAAAAAUAAUAUACUCACUACCCUUACAUUAUUAAUAGCAUUCUGAAUUUGACUAAAUAUUUUUACCUUUCAUAGCUUACUUGUUGCUAUCUAGCAUCAUUUUGUUUCAAUGUGAAGAAUUCUUUGUAUUAUUUCUUAUAAGUGGUGAUGAAUUCCCUUUGUUUGUCCUUUAGGCUUCAUGAAUCUUGUUGUCCUUUUCCCUCUUUGAUAUGGGAAAUUUCAACCAGCAUUUCCUUAAAUUAGCCUUCUAUUCUUUAUCUUUUUCUUCUCCUGCUACUACUCACCUGGUGUAUACACUGGUUCACUUAAUCAUGGUCUAUAAAUCCCAUAGACUUUCAUUUAUUUUUUAUAAUUUUCUUCUUUUUAUUUCUCUAACUGGAUAAUUUCAAAGCACCUGUCAAGAAUUUACUGACUUCUUCUAUUUGAUGGAAUCUGCUGUUGAAAUUUUCUGUUGAAUUUUGCAUAUCAGUCAUUGCACUCUUUAGCUCCAGAAAUUUCUUUGUUCUUUUUUUAUUAAUG